UACAGAGGUCUCAAGCGUUGUUCGGAUUCAUUGGGCGUAAAGGGUGCGUAGGCGGCGCGGUAAGUCGGGUGUGAAAUCUCGGAGCUUAACUCCGAAACUGCAUUCGAUACUGCCGUGCUUGAGGACUGGAGAGGAGACUGGAAUUUACGGUGUAGCGGUGAAAUGCGUAGAUAUCAGGAGGAAUACCCAUGGCGAAGGCAGUUCACUGGGCAUUAUCUGACGCUGAGGCGCGAAAGCGUGGGGAGCAAACAGG
rnacentral:rRNA from 1 species